UACGUAGGGUGCAAGCGUUAAUCGGAAUCACUGGGCGUAAAGGGUGCGUAGGCGGGUCUUUAAGUCAGGGUGAAUCCUGGAGCUCAACUCCAGAACUGCCUUUGAUACUGAAGAUCUUGAGUUCGGAGAGGUGAGUGGAACUGCGAGUGUAGAGGUGAAAUUCGUAGAUAUUCGCAAGAACACCAGUGGCGAAGGCGGCUCACUGGCCCGAUACUGACGCUGAGGCACGAAAGCGUGGGAGCAACAGGG
rnacentral:rRNA from 1 species